GAAGUGCCCAUCUUACGUUAUAAAAAUGUCAUUCUAUAUUUCUUUGUUCACGGACUUUUCCUUUCUGUCAUUUCAAAGUUAAAACCGUGUAAAGAAUAUAUAUGGUGCGCGCGCGCGAGAGAGAGCAGUUACGUCUGAAUCGUCCUUGAAUGUAAGUGGAGACAAGGCGCGAACCAGCAAGAAGAAUGCGGCGCACGCGGUAUAAAGGGACCUUAAAGGCUUCGAUACGCGAAUGGUCGCGCUCUGGCGAGCGAAUCGUGCAACAAUUAUCGGACAAUGACAUUUUAUCCACAUAUUACGUUGGAAAUGAGCGUAUAUCGAAAAAUGGAAUGAGAUAUACAGAUUGGCUAACAUCACACGUUACGACUCUAAAGUAUACAAAAUCGAUAGCGGCUAAGCAAUCCACUUAAUGGCAUUCCCUAAGCAGCCGCUGAACGUGAUAAAUCGAAGGCUGUGGACUAUUUAGAUACGCCGUAACGAUAUAUCGAACCGUUGCUACAACACUAGAUAGAAGACAGAUUAAACAGUAACGAAUAGCGUCUCGUUCUUACCUGCAAAAAAACUAGACGCUCUCUGUAUAAUCUACUUAAAUCUUCAAAAAUUUAUGUACUUUAAAUAAGAUGUUGAACCCUCGUAAAACAUAAAGCUCGUAAGGUGUCGAAUCAGCAAAAUACUUUAUCUCCAUAAGGAAAUCAAUUGUACACAUAUAUUCCGCUUUGAUAUACGACGAGGAAAAAAUAGAUUCUCGUUGCGCAGUCCUAGUCUUAAGUUCGCAUCGUUCUCGUCGUUUCAUUUGGACAAUACCGCAACAGCGCGAACAAAAAGUACAGCCCCGUGUUUUCGAGCGAUUAUCUGGGCGAGCUACUCGAAGAAAAGGAAGUCAGUUCAUCUGUCGUUGAGAGUAACGCCCACAUAAAAAACCCGAGGUACUAAGAGGUUUUUCCCCGGAUUACGUUAUCCAUUGAUAACAGAUGCUGUGUCAUACGCAUAAGCGCAUAAUAUCGGUACUUGUUCGUCGCAAGAUCAUCACGCGCGAUACUUAACGCGACGCGGGGGGAAAAGAAAUCAACAGAGUCCGGGUUGCAAGAGGUGAGGGGUGGAGUGAGUAGCGGAGUGAGUAGAAGAUGGAGGGGGUAGAGAGUCAUAAGAGUACGGGAACAAAUAGGUGACGUACGUUGGAUGGAGGUUGCUCAACUUGACAUCGCUUUCGUGACGUCAUACAAAAUCACUUUACCUCAAGACGAAACCAACUUCUCGUUGCUGUGUUCACACGAUGUCGAUGGCGAAGAAAUGAAGAAAG
rnacentral:misc_RNA from 1 species